CAGAUAUUAUGAAUAAAUGUGAAUAUUGUACUGAGAAAGGUUAGAAAUCAUCUACAGAGUAAUGACAUGCAGUGAUCGAAAAAUAAAUGGUAUAAUUCCAGAAAACAUGUGUAACAUAUAAUACUUAAUGGUACAUGGAACUAUUGAAAAUUUCUGGAAGUUGUUUUUGUAUAACUGAAACCCU
rnacentral:lncRNA from 1 species